AAUGGUAAUUUAGAAUACCUAUGAAUUUAUGAAUAAUUAAGCGAUGGCGUGUGUUACGAGCAAAAGUCUUCAUUCACAAGCCUUCCUCUCUGAAGAAUCCAUUUAUCUUCUUGCUCGUCUACGGUUCCUCCUUAUCCUUUCAUCUUGUCGGUCUUUACAACUACCUUCUCUCUUUUUAUUUUCUGUCGAUUUUCAUCUUCGAUCUGUAUUGUUGAUAAUUUGUGAACUUAAAUUUAGCCAUCGGUUCCGUGCUUGAAAUUCAUACAUUAGAUUCUAGAGUUCCGGGAUUGAGAAUCUGGCGGGAAUUUUACCGGAUCGAGGUGUGAUCGCCGAUUUUUAGCGAACUAUUCGGAGACUCCUGUGACGAAUUUCGGUCGUGAUUCGGCGUAAUUUUCGUAUCUAUAAAAGGACACGAGAUGGGGUCUUUGCAAGGACCAGUUGUUUGCCCUACUUUUCAUGCGAAGCAAGCAGGAUUUUGUUCUCUGCCAAUUAAGCGUUCUUUGAUGGCUUUUAGUUUUCGAAGAGGUGAAUUUUGGGGAUUUACAGGGAUCAACGGUUUGAAUGCUAAGUUUCCAGCGCCUUCUCGCAAAGGUUGUGCUAGAAAAUGCACGACAGUGCGUUGCAGCUUCAGUUCAUCAUCUGACGACAAUGGAAGUACAGCAGAGAACUUCAACGAGAAGGACGAAGAGUACGUUGAAUCGAGCGUGGUUGAGGCUGUUGAGGUGAAAAGUGGUGCGGAUGGUUUCAUGAUUAAAAUGAGGGAUGGUAGGCACUUAAGGUGUGUUCACAACAACCCUCACGGUGGGCAUCUGCCUGAUUAUGCUCCACAUCCCGCAAUUGUGUUGAAGAUGGAAGAUGGAACUGGUCUUCUUCUUCCCAUAAUCGUGUUGGAAAUGCCAAGCGUUCUGCUUAUGGCUGCUGUGCGCAAUGUUCCAAUUGCCAGGCCAACCAUGUAUCAAGUGGUGAAAGAGAUGAUUGACAAGAUGGGUUAUGAAGUCAAACUUGUAAGGGUUACCAAGAGAGUGCAUGAGGCAUAUUUUGCUCAGUUAUACCUCUCAAAGAUUGGUUGUGACACCGACUGCCUCAGCUUUGAUCUUCGACCUUCAGAUGCUAUAAAUAUUGCAGUCCGAUGCAAGGUCCCAAUUCAAGUGAACAAGUAUCUUGCAUACAGUGACGGUAUGCGAGUUGUUGAAACUGGCAAGCUGUCAACCCAGACCCCUGCUACGGACGGUUUACUAUUCACCGAACUGGAUAGGCCCAGUGGUCAGCCUUGUGUGGAAGCCAAAGAGUUUGAUCUGGUGAGGAAUAUGCUGAUUGCUGCUGUUGAAGAGCGCUACAGAGAUGCUGCUCAGUGGAGGGACAAGCUCAAUCUGCUUAGGGCUAGGAAGAAUUUGGCAUAAGAGUUGCUCCUGGAGAAAGCAUACCUGUACAUAGAACGAAAUUGUUCGUGGCCGAGGCCUGGCUUGCGUCGGGAAUCUAUUGCAUCUUGCCUCUUCUACUUGCAUUAUGUAUUUAGCAACUCUGUGAAUAUAGAUAGGACAUGGUGGAGUCGGGUCGUCAGAUGUGUUCUUGGUGAAAUGCAUGACAUAACCAAUUCCUUUGAUGCUUCACAAUCACAAUGAUAAAUUUAGCAGUGAACAACAUUGCUGCUGCUUAUAUCUUACUGGCUGGCUUAUGGUCUUUGAUGA